AAGAGCUAACCAAUCAGCCGGAGGAGGGUUGGACCCCCGAGUGAGGCUCGUGACUCGGGAAGCACCUGCGUGGAGGGUGCUGAGCCCGGCCGGCCCCCGGCAGGCGGAAGUGGUGCGUGACUUAAAGCAGCUUUGCCUGACCCGCCUUUGGGGCUGGACAGACCCGGGACCGCCACCUCACAGAGGACUCUCGUGCUGAACCGGGAAGUGAGAGUUGCCUAUUGUGGACAUUUCAUAAAAAUGGAAUUAUACAA